GAACGCUGGCGGCAUGGUUAAAACAUGCAAGUCGAACGCGAACGGAUCUUCGGAUCCUAUUAGAGUGGCGAACGGGCGAGUAAUGCGUUUCUAACGUACCCCAAGGUGGGGGAUAGCAUCGGGAAACUGGUGGUAAUACCCCAUGAUCCAGCGAAACCGCAUGGUUUUGCUGGCAAAGGCUUGCUGCCUUGGGAUCGGGAAACGUGCUAUCAGGUUGUUGGUGAGGUAACGGCUCACCAAGCCUUAGACGGCUAGCGGGUGUGAGAGCACGACCCGCCGCAUCGGGACUGAGACACUGCCCGGACUCCUACGGGAGGCUGCAGUAACGAAUCUUCCGCAAUGUACGCAAGUAUGACGGAGCAAUGCCGCGUGUAGGAUGAAGGCCUUCGGGUUGUAAACUACUGUCAGGGACUAGCAACACAAUGAGCAGUCCCAGAGGAAGGACCGGCUAACUUCGUGCCAGCAGCCGCGGUAAUACGAAGGGUCCGAGCGUUGCGCGGAAUCAUUGGGCUUAAAGGGUGCGUAGGCGGAUUUGCAAGUGCUUUGUGAAAGCCCUCGGCUCAACCGAGGAAUUGCUUGGUAGACUGCAAAUCUUGAGGUCGGCAGAGGUUGUCGGAACCAUAGGUGUAGCGGUGAAAUGCGUAGAUAUCUAUGGGAACGCCAAAGGAGAAAUCAGACAACUGGGCCGAAUCUGACGCUGAGGCACGAAAGCGUGGGUAGCGAAGAGGAUUAGAUACCCUCGUAGUCCACGCCCUAAACGAUGUGCACUAGAUCCUGGAGGUGCUGACACCCUCGGGGUCGAAGCAAAAGUGUUAAGUACACCGCCUGGGGAGUACGGUCGCAAGGCUAAAACUCAAAGGAAUUGACGGGGACUCACACAAGCGGUGGAGCAUGUGGCUUAAUUCGAAGCAACGCGAAGAACCUUAUCCAGGGUUUGACAUGUAUGGAUUAACUCCCCGAAAGGGGAGCCACACCUUUUAGGUGGAACAUACACAGGUGCUGCAUGGCUGUCGUCAGCUCGUGCUGUGAAGUGUCGGGUUAAGUCCCUUAACGAGCGAAACCCCUGCCGUUAGUUGCUAACGGGUAAUGCCGAGGACUCUAGCGGGACCGCCGGUGUCAAACCGGAGGAAGGUGGGGACGACGUCAAGUCCUCAUGGCCUUUAUGCCCAGGGCUGCACACGUGCUACAAUGGCGACCACAGAGCGACGCAAUGCCGCAAGGCGGAGCAAAUCGCAAAAAGGUCGCCCCAGUUCGGAUUGAGGUCUGCAACUCGACCUCAUGAAGCCGGAAUCGCUAGUAAUCGCGUAUCAGCUACGACGCGGUGAAUAUGUUCCUGAGCCUUGUACACACCGCCCGUCACGUCAUGGAAGCCGGGAGCGCCCGAAGCCGUACCGUUUCAGGUAUGUCGACGGUGAGCUCGGUGACUGGGAC
rnacentral:rRNA from 1 species